GGAUGUGGCUCAGUGGUAAAAUGCUUGCUUUACAUGCAUGAGGUCCUGGGUUCAAUCCCCAGUGUCACA
rnacentral:tRNA from 1 species